UACGUAGGGGCCAAGCGUUGUCCGGAUUUAUUGGGCGUAAAGAGCGCGCAGGCGGUCGUUCAAGUCGCGUGUGAAAGCCCCCGGCUCAACUGGGGAGGGUCACGCGAUACUGAUCGACUCGAAGGCAGGAGAGGGAAGUGGAAUUCCCGGUGUAGUGGUGAAAUGCGUAGAUAUCGGGAGGAACACCAGUGGCGAAGGCGACUUCCUGGCCUGUUCUUGACGCUGAGGCGCGAAAGCUAGGGGAGCAAACGGG
rnacentral:rRNA from 1 species